AACGAACGCUGGCGGCAUGCUUUACACAUGCAAGUCGAACGGUAGAGGGGCAACCCUUGAGAGUGGCGAACGGGUGAGUAAUGCAUCGGAACGUGCCCAGUAGUGGGGGAUAGCCCGGCGAAAGCCGGAUUAAUACCGCAUGAGACCUGAGGGUGAAAGCGGGGGAUCGCAAGACCUCGCGCUAUUGGAGCGGCCGAUGUCAGAUUAGCUAGUUGGUGGGGUAAAGGCCUACCAAGGCGACGAUCUGUAGCUGGUCUGAGAGGACGACCAGCCACACUGGGACUGAGACACGGCCCAGACUCCUACGGGAGGCAGCAGUGGGGAAUGUUGGACAAUGGGCGCAAGCCUGAUCCAGCCAUGCCGCGUGCGGGAAGAAGGCCUUCGGGUUGUAAACCGCUUUUGUCAGGGAAGAAAUCUUCUGGGCUAAUACCCUGGGAGGAUGACGGUACCUGAAGAAUAAGCACCGGCUAACUACGUGCCAGCCGCCGCAGUAACAC
rnacentral:rRNA from 1 species